rnacentral:rRNA from 1 species
GAUGAACGCUGGCGGCGUGCCUAAUACAUGCAAGUCGAGCGAACAGACGAGGAGCUUGCUCCUCUGACGUUAGCGGCGGACGGGUGAGUAACACGUGGAUAACCUACCUAUAAGACUGGGAUAACUUCGGGAAACCGGAGCUAAUACCGGAUAAUAUAUUGAACCGCAUGGUUCAAUAGUGAAAGACGGUUUUGCUGUCACUUAUAGAUGGAUCCGCGCCGCAUUAGCUAGUUGGUAAGGUAACGGCUUACCAAGGCAACGAUGCGUAGCCGACCUGAGAGGGUGAUCGGCCACCCUGGAACUGAGACACGGUCCAGACUCCUACGGGAGGCAGCAGUAGGGAAUCUUCCGCAAUGGGCGAAAGCCUGACGGAGCAACGCCGCGUGAGAGAUGAAGGUCUUCGGAUCGUAAAACUCUGUUAUUAGGGAAGAACAAAUGUGUAAGUAACUAUGCACGUCUUGACGGUACCUAAUCAGAAAGCCACGGCUAACUACGUG